AUAAAAGCUGUCCCCGAAGCACGUGACUCCUCUCCGCCCGACCGCCGCGAGCCGCCAUCAUGGACACGAGUAGAGUGCAGCCCAUCAAACUGGCCAGGGUCACCAAGGUGCUGGGCAGGACCGGCUCUCAGGGACAGUGCACGCAGGUGCGCGUGGAGUUCAUGGACGACACGAGCCGCUCCAUCAUCCGCAACGUGAAAGGCCCCGUGCGGGAGGGCGACGUGCUCACCCUGCUGGAGUCAGAGCGGGAGGCUCGGAGGCUGCGCUGAUGCCGCCGCCGGUGGGUGCACGGCGGACCCUCUGCGCUGGGGGGUUCCCGGAUGUCCCGAUGGCUUGGCGCAGGGGAUGAUCUGCCGUUGUUAAAUAAACCGUUUGUAUUGUG